rnacentral:rRNA from 2 species
UGGGGAAUUUUGGACAAUGGGGGAAACCCUGAUCCAGCCAUGCCGCGUGAGUGAAGAAGGCCUUCGGGUUGUAAAGCUCUUUCAGCCGGAACGAAAAGGUUACGGUUAAUACCCGUGACUAAUGACGGUACCGGAAGAAGAAGCACCGGCUAACUACGUG